AGGGGUGUAGCUCAACGCUUGAGCACUUGCCUAGCAUGCAUAAGGUCCUGGGUUCAAUCCCUAGCACCACAC
rnacentral:tRNA from 1 species